rnacentral:rRNA from 1 species
CUACGGGGGGCACCAGUAGGGAAUAUUGCACAAUGGACGAAAGUCUGAUGCAGCAACGCCGCGUGUGCGAAGAAGGCCUUCGGGUUGUAAAGCACUUUUGGCGGGGAAGAGGAAGGACAGUACCCGCAGAAUAAGCCUCGGCUAACUACGUGCCAGCAGCCGCGGUAACACGUAGGAGGCGAGCGUUAUCCGGAUUUACUGGGCGUAAAGCGCGUGCAGGCGGUUAUGUAAGUUGGAUGUGAAAGCUCCUGGCUUAACUAGGAGAGGUCGUUCAAAACUGCGUAACUGGAGUGUGAAAGAGGGAGGUAGAAUUCCGAGUGUAGUGGUGAAAUGCGUAGAUAUUCGGAGGAAUACCAGAGGCGAAGGCGGCCUCCUGGUUCACAACUGACGCUGAGACGCGAAAGCUAGGGUAGCAAACGGGAUUAGAUACCCUCGUAGUC